rnacentral:lncRNA from 1 species
GAAUAAAUAAAAUUAUGAUACAUUUUACAACGUGAUAAAACUGAAGAAAAAAACUUGAAUUACAUGUAAUGACUUCGACUAACUUUCUACGAAGCUUCUACUAUACUGACUAUAGGUAGAUGGGACAUGCCUCCAACUACAACAAAUAAAUACAUAUGAAUAAAUACAAUACAAUAUAUGAACUACAACUGACUGGAGAUCCUCGAACUAGGAGAAUUCAUCACCUGCUGGCAGGAAGCUGUAAGCUGUAAGCUGUCUGAUGUGUAGGUUACAACUAGUACUUGCAUUAUAAGACAAUGAAGCACAUAGACAUAUAUGUGGAUUAGUACUUUGGAAUGCUCUGAUAGUGGGGUCAAAUGAUGCUCUGAUAGUGGGGUCAAAUAAGAUAAGUAAAACUAAUUAGGUAUAAUCUUAAAACAUGCAUGCAAAGUGCAAGUAGACUCACCAAGAGACUGAAAUCAACUGAAAGCUGAAGUAUCUUAAAACAUGAGUAACAAACAUAAUAUGAUAAGUUGAUGAAUUACUACACUUAGCUACAUGAAUCUCUACUUUUAUAGAAUAAAUAGAACUGAAACUGGGAAGUGGUAAAACAUGAAUACAACAACACCAAACCAAGUGUGGUAAAUCAUGAAUACUGUAUGUAAAUCUUAUGUAAAGAUGAACAUGUUGUAGGACUGAACUUAAGGUCAUGUAUGUAUACUGAGCAUGAAAAUAUGAACAUAUUAAACUGAGAAUGCAAGACCAAGCAUAAAUAUGUUUCUGAAAUAAAUUUGAAAUCUAUGUAAUUGAAUGACUUUAAACCUAUGCACUUGGUCAAGCAAACCUGAACUGAGAUAUACUAAAAUACUGAAUAAAACUGUGGGAGGUAACAUAUAAGUGACAUGCCCAAAUCUAAGCUAAUCGAAGUCGAACCUGUAACCCCAAUUAAAGGGUGUCAGUACCAUGCCACAGGUACUAACUCUGAUUUUGUGGGUCCACUAAUCAUGAGUCUCAAAGGACUAAAGAGUCAGUCCUAAACUGGCAGGUGAUCCCUAAGAGAGUGUUAGUCCUAAACUGGUGGGUAAUAUCUCAUAAUCCUAUGCUGGCUACGUAGUUCUGAAACUUAGGGACUGCUACUAAGGACCCAGUCCUAACUAGCGGGCGAGCCCCUAUCCCUAGGUUUGCUUGGUGCUAAAUCCUACUCCUAACUGAAUGACACUGGUACUGAACUAGACUAAAUUCAACUGAACAUUAUUUCUGAUAGUACUCAGCAUGAUCAUAAAUAUUUGAGUAUACUGAUAGGUUUCAUGGCUUAACUAACUUAGUACUUGAAAUUCUGAAAUCAUGUAAACAUAUAGGUAUCGGGUGUUCAUAACCCACCAUCACUGAAUGAUCAUAAAAUACAAUAUUAAAGCUUAAAGCUUUAGGAUUGAAUCAUGGUUCAAAGACCCAAAAAGUAGACAUUUCAUGAAACAAGUGAGAAUUAUGAACUUGAACAUGGGAAUGUCUUAAAACAUAGAAAAAAAGAAUGGUAACAUAACUAAAAUCAUAACUUGACAUUAUAACGUGAAAUUCACUUGAAUAUGACAUGGGAGAUCGAAUAUUGAAUAUGAGAAAACCUAACAUUUCAUGGAAAUACUUGAACAUGAAUUGAGUCCAAAAUACUAAGGAAGAACAUGAAUUUAACUCAUCUUGAACAUAAUAAACUUCAUAAUAGAGGAAAAAAUUAUACUUUACUCAAAACGGGGUUUUUGGGCUCAAUGGGUGAAAGGACCCAUUGAUAAACCUCCAUAUACCUCAAUAGAUGGUUUCUUAAAGAUUUAUUGAAUUUGGAAGCUUGAAUUCUUGAUUUCUUGAGAAAGAGGAUUGGAUUUUGUUCUUUGGAGAGGAGUAGAUUUUUUGAAUCGUGACUUGAAUGCUUGGGGUUAAGGGAGUGGAAUUUAUGUGUUUAAAGACACCUUUUCUCGAUUAGGAGUGAUUAUGGAUAGUGUAGGGGUGUGAAAAGACUUCAACACCCUUGAUUUAAGUCAAAAUAGAGUACUUUGGGCACUAUGCAAGCACCAUACGGCACAUAACAAUCUCCUAAGCCAAGGUGGGUGAUGCAUAGCCAUCGCACAUCCCCAAGUGGGCGAUGUAUGGCCAUCACACACCCUUUCCAGUGUUCUUUUGAUAUUGUCAUGUGACACACGACCUUUGUAUGGCCAUAACUUUUUGCUUGGAUAUUCAAUUAAGGAGAGAUUGGUAUCGUUGGAAAGAAAAUUAAAUUAUAUACAAUUUGUUGGGUCUUGAACUGAAAAAUUCCAUAUAUCUAAACAGUUAUACACAUUCAAACCUGACCCUUGUGGAAUCGAACACCAAAAUUUGACCGAAUCAAAGGCUUUUAGCUCACUUUGCACUAAGUGAUUCUUAUGAAUAUUUUUCCACCUCAUAAACUCUCUUUGCAAUAGGCUAUAAUAAUCAUGAAUCAUGCAUUCAAAUAUGAAUCAUAGGAUUAUAGUUUACACACAUAGGAAUAACUCGAAGUCUAGCCCAAAAAUGUGGGGUGUUACAUUAUUUCCCCUUAGGAUAAUUCGUCCUCGAAUGAUGGGUAUGAACUUGUUGGAGUUAUAUAAGUAUGGAAUAAUAUACACAUGACAUGUCUUGUAAUGAAUGAUAUAGCUGAGCUAAAUCAUUAUAGCAUCUAUCAUGAAACUGAUUUCUAAGCUUACUUGACUCUAUUGACUGUAAUGAGCUGAUUCUUGUUGAGAAUUUAGAACCCACUUGAAAUGUUCAUGAUACGAUCAUACAUAUACAACUACAAAGUGAUAACUUAUGCAAUAAAAUUUCAAGAGUUACUAAGGAUGGAAUAGGGUGUGUAACUUCUCCUUUGGAUUAUUCUUCAACAAAACACGUAUAGAAAUCAAAAGAAAAAGGCUACAUGGCCUCACCAAGAACAUUAUGUAAGCACGAAUCAUGAGAUAAUGAUACUAAGGUCGUACAAGGGGUAUCACAAUAUACAAGCUGGAAUACUUGGAAAAAUGAGAUUAUAUACUUGGAAAACUAAGAUUAUGCACUAUUAUGUUCUGAGUUAUGAGGCAAUACAAUUGCUAACUUUCAAGCUUAGCCACACUUCUCAUAUACUCCCUCAACUAUAAUUUUCCCGUUAAAUACCCUGCUCUUCGGAUUUAAAUUAUAAUUCUCACAUAGGUACAUAUAACUACUCUAGCCAAAGUCUGAGUUGAACCACAUGCUUUCACCAUGUUCAAGCCUAACUCGAAAUUACAAGGUAUAACACAUAACACCAUAUUACUAGUAUAAACCAUGAAUUCAAUACCCCAUGCAUUUUCACAACUUCUCAUCUCAAGAGCAAAUUUUCUUACCACUUCAACAACUAAAUUCAACCUCUUAUUAAGAAUUCACUAACGCAAAAUGCUACCAUCCACUUAUAUACCAACAUUAAAUUCAAGCCUAUCAUUGUAACCACACAAGAACUUCUAGGCAAACAACCCAUCAAAGAAACUUCCUCAUAUUCUCUAAACCUCUAUCAAUAACAACUUUCAUGUACUAUUCUUGAGAAAACACACACAAAAUUUAACUAACCAUGAUAUAUACCAAAAGCUUUGCCUCAGUCUUCUUUCACACUUAUAGCCUUAGAUAAAACAAGCAUACAAUAAUCUUUCCCCAACAUGAAAAAUUUAUUCUCUCCCCUCUAAAGAAUUACUCCUCGCCACCAUCAAAUAUAAGGACCAGUAGCAUGAAAAAAUACUAUGCAUACUUUUGAAACUUAACUGAGGCUUGAGGAAUAGAGUAUCAAUGACAUGAAUUCAUUAAAGAGAUCUAAAAUAAGGACAUAAAUGACAUAAUCUGAAUUUCGAUGAUCAUUAGAAGUGUGCAUGAGUACUUGGAAUUGAUCAUAAGUAAAGCAUGAGUACAUAAGCCAUGAGUUGCAUGACCUGAGUUCUGAGUUCAUAAAUUCAUGGAAUAUAAUUCGUACUGCUGAGUGAAAUGAAACUCCUUAUACUAGGAACUAGAAGCGCACAUGAUUCUCCAUGAUGUGCAUGAACAUGAACUAUGAUUAUGAAGCUAACAGGUAAAGCAUGAGUAAAUGUCGUGAUAACUAAAGUACAAAACUUUGCACUGAGACAAUAAUGGGUCGGACACCUUUCUCCCCUACUGAUUUUCUACAAUACUCUGGCAUCACUACUAGAAUAUGAAAGCCUAACUUAGUUACUUGUUCUAUCAUCUCCCCCUCAGAUUAAAGCUAUCAUCCUAAGUUUGUGAACCCGUUUAGUAAAAUCUAAAUAGAACUCCAACCAUUCUACUCUAGAGUCUGAGAUAUAACAACACAUAAAUAAUAAAUCCACCCUGAAAGACUACACUUGAGAGUGUAAAACCCGUUGCUAGUACUUCCUUCUGAAAUACAACUCUUAACUUUCUAUUGCCCCAAUAGUCACUAUAUAAUAACUUAAACACUUACUAACUUAGAAUUUUCAUGAGUGUUACCAAACGAUGAGAUCAUACCAUUAAGAAUUUACACUCUUCUUUCUAUUAGAUCAAUCAUCCAAAAUUCAAUUCUAAAACUUAACAUGGAUAUCCCCAAACCUUUAAUGAACCAUACUAACGUCCUUCAUUGCCUACUAAUAUCACAUAUCUAAACUUAUAUUUUUCCCUAAACUAUGAAAAUUAUCAUUAAACCAACAUACCCAACAUCAUCAACCUAUAAUCCAUAAGUUAGCUGAUAAGAACAUUAUAUACUACGUAGCCUCAUUCACACUUAACAACUCAAGGGUACAAUCUAAGCACAUGUACUGUUAAAACUUAGAAAUACUAUAAACCUAUAUCACCUCAGACACACCUCUUAAUUAUACACACUUCAUCAUACUUAAUUUCAAAUCAAUAAACUUCAAUCAUUGCAUACAUUAUUUAAAGCCUACUAGUUUACCUUCAUACCACUAGCCCCAUGGAUACAUAAUCUACUAAAUUUAGAUAACACUAUUCCCACUUUAAUGCUGCUAAACUUCUAGGUUCAUGCUUCUAACUCUAGAUUACAUGCUAUUACAUGAUUCUGAAAAAGGAUCUAAAAGCACAUCUGCUUUUGCUUAGAGCAUGAUUUUCAUGAACAUGAAUGAAAUCUUUAAAACUUCAAAACUUAAAAGAACUAAUAUGAUACUUCCAAACUUGCAUGUAAUCCUAUAUAUGUUUGUAAGGACUAUCGGAGAAAACUCUAUCUGUAAGGAUUUAAGCUUGGCUAUUUUUGUUGCCUCAAGAAUAAGGCAGAGUUGGUACCAAUGGAGUAACAUAACAACCUAUAUAAGUCUCUAAGGUAACACUUCUACUGCACGAUCUGAAACAUGAAAAAAGGGAAACAUUUCAUAAAUGCCCUAUAAUCUCUCUAAGAAAGGUACAAAUGUCUCCGUACCGUUCCACAAGACUGUACUAGACACGCCUUCAUAGACACCCUAUGACACUUGAACUCUGGGCUCUAAUACCAAUUUUGUCACGACAGGAGACAACCCCUAGUCGUAACACGAUGCUUGAAACCACAAGUGAUCCCAAGCUAACCCAUAAUCUGGCAUACUGCUUGAGCAACUAAAUUACAUGGUAUAACAUCAAAUUUACUGAGCGAAAACAUAAUCACAAUAAAGUAUAAAUAAAUAAAAUGUUGAUAUAUUUUACAACAUGAUAAAACUGAAGAAGGAAACUUGAAUUACAUGUAAUGACUUUGACUGACUGUCUACGAGGCCUUUACUAUACUGAAUAUAAAUAGUUGGGUCAUGCCUCCAACUACCCUAAAUCAAUACAUAUGAAUAAAUAUAAUAUAGUAAAUGAACUAUAACUAACUGGUGAUUCUCAAACUAAUAGAACUCAUUAUCUGUUGGCUGGAAACCGCAAACUAUAUUAUUAUAAUAUGUAGGUUACAACUGGUACCUACAUUAUAAGACAAUAUAGCACAUAGAUAUAUAUGUAGAUCAAUACUUUGAAAUGUAUUGAGUAAAUGGAGGUGAAAUGCAAUAAGUAAAAUUGAUUAGGUACAUAAUCUUAAAACAUGCAUGCAAAGUGCAAGUAGACUUACUAAGAGACUCAAAUCAACUGAAAGCUGAAGUACCUUAAAACAUAGUAACAAACAUAACCUGAUAAGUUGAUGAAUCACUACACUUAGUUACUUAAAUCUUUACUUUUUUAGAAUAAGUAAAACUAAAGCUGGUAAGACAUAAAAUAUGAAUACUGUAGGCAAAUCUCAUGUAAAGCUAAACAAAUUGUAGAACUAAACUUAGGGUCAUGUAUAGAUACUAAGCAUGAAAAACAUGAACUUGUAAAACUGAUAAUGUAAGACCAAGCACAAAUAUGUUUCUAAAAUAAAUCUAAAAUCUAAGAAAUUGAAAUUUGUACAACUGAAUGACUAAAAACCUGUACACUUGGUCAAGCAAACCUGAACUGAGAUAUACUGAAAUAUUGACUGAAACUGUGGGAGGUAUCAUAUAACCAACAUCCCUAAUUUGAACUAAUCGGGGUCCAUCCUAUAAAUUCAGUUAGAAGAAUGUCAGUACCAUGCCACGGGUACUAAUACUAGCUAUGUGGAUCCAUUAAUCAUGAGUCCCAAAGGACUAGAGCGUUAGUCCUAAAUUGGUAGGUGACCCCUAAGAGAGUGUCAGUCCUAAACUAGUGGGUGACAUCUCAUAAUUCUAUGCUAGCUACGUAGUUCUGAAACUUAGGAAUAGCUACUAAAGACCCAGUCCUAACUGGCAGGUAAGCCCCCAUCCCUAGGUUCACUCGAUGCUAAAUCUUACUCCCAACCGAAUGACAAUAGUACUCAACUAGACUAAAUUCCACUGAACUUUAUUUUUGAUAGUGCACAGCAUGAUCAUAAAUAUCUGAGUAUAUUGAUAAGAUUCAUGGAUUAACUUAGUACUUAAAAUUCCUUGUGCUUUCAAAUCCCUUUUUAGAAUCCUAUAAUAGCAUGUGAUCUAGAGUUAGAAGCAUGAAACCAGAAGUUUAGUAGCACUAAAGUAUGGAUAGUGUUAUCUAAAUUUAGUAGAUUAUGUAUCCAUAGUGCGUGCAAGAAUAUAAGUUUAUUGAUUACAUAUUAAUUAUGAUAAUGUGUUACGAUUAAGAGGUGAGCCCAAGGUGAUAUGAGAUAGCAGUAUUUCUAAGUUUUAACAGUGUACGUUCUUAGAUAGUACCCUUGAGUUAUAAAGUGUGAAUGAGGCUAUGUAGUAUAUAACAAUAUAACAUAAGGCAUAAACACAUGUUAAUAUCACAGUGCAUAAUAAAUACAUAAUUUGGAGUAAUAAUAGCGCAUCAUAAAGCAUCAAUACAAAUAAAUAUGACUACAAAGUUGGCUCCUAUAUGUCAACUAGUGCAGAAAAGUAAAGAACUCAUCACAACCUCCCAUAUGACCGAAGAGUAUACCCAAGAGAAGAAUCAAUCAAUCAAUAAAUCAAUAUUAACACCAACUUCAUCGUCGUUUAACUAUCAUUACACAACUUACCAUCAAUCGGUCAUUUAGCAACAUUUACGAUUCACCAAGACAUGACAAUAUACUCAAAACCUUAAUAUUACCAUCAUUUCACAACCUUAUCAUGCAUAUUCACUAAUCACCCUUAACUAGCUAGCCAUUUCUCAUUAACAAAUCCAUUUACUUACUAGCUAUCAUUUCUCAUUAACAAAUCCAUUUACUUACUAGCUAUCAUACAACCUCUAGUUGUUAUCUAACAACUAUUCACCAUAUAACCACUAUUCAUGGGUUAUCAUCUAGUCAUUAUUCACUAACUAAUAUUUAGCAACUAGGAGUCAUUUAUUAACUAGUUAUCAUCAGCGACUUGAUCAUAGUUAUCAACUAAUCCAUAUAAUUACUAGUUAUUAUUAGCACUAAUCAUCAUUACAGAUUAACCAUCAUUAUCAGUAGCCAUUAAUAUCACUAUUCAUUAUUGUCACUAGUGUUCGAUUAUCCAUUAUUCGUAUUAGACACUUAAAUAAUAUCACUAAUACUCAUUUAGAAUCAAUCAUUAACUAUAACUUUGAAAACAUUUAUAGCUAAUGGACUACAAUCGAUAUCCCUAUGAUUAACAACACACCAAAAUUACACAUGAGUAAAUAAAUAAGUAUGUGAUUGAUAUACAUAGGUCUAGUCAGACUCGAACUGGUAGAUGUACGCAUAAGUACAUUAAUAUAAUCAUCCUCCAAACUUACCGAGUAUCAAUGAAUUAUCAUACUUAUCCUUUGACCUUUUCAGGUAUCAACAUCAUCGCAAUAUUCUUUGGUCUUGUCGGGUACCAUCAUAUCAAUUCAAUAUCCUCUGGCCUUGUUGGAUAUUAAUAUAUCAUCAUAACCUUCUCUACCCAUAUCGAGUAUCAAUAUAUGGCCAUAAUCAUAUACCUUGGCAACAUCCAUAACAUAAGCAUUUGUAUAAUGAUCAUGAUUUCAAGAAUAAUUAGUAAUAUAACUUCCCAUAAAAUCAAUAUGCAUGAGUUCUAAUAAUAAUUUAUGGCAUCAUUACUAAAAUCGUCAUAAGGAAUGUUUUAAAGUAUGAUUUAUAGCAUAAUUACUUAGUAUAAUCAAUAUGAUAAGCAAUAUCAUGAGCGAUGACCCAGUAGUAGUAUACUCAAUGAUCUAUCAUUAGCAAAAGACAGACUAUCAAUAACUUGAGCAAUAGCUAAUACAUGGUAUGACCCAUAGUUUAUUCAUAGCAUAGUCAAUAUUAUAAUUUAUGGCUUAUAAUUACUGAUGCUGAAAUAAAGUUCUAAUAAUGCAAGAAUGCAAUUUAGACAUGCUGAAAUUUUACUUGUUUUAUGCAAAAAUAUUUUUACAUGCUGAAAUUAAUAUUAGCAUACUAAAAAUACAUGAACUCUAUUGUUUUGACAAGCUGAAAAUGCGCAGAAUUCAUGUUUAUAAGCAGGAAAUUCAAUUAAACAUGUUGGAACUCGUAUUCUAAUAGUGUAGACAUGCUGGACAUUAACUGAUUUAUGUAAGAAUAGAAUUUUUAGCAUGCAAGACAUAAAUUAUCUUAUGUGAAAACAUAGUUCUAAACAAGUUGAGCUGAAUUCAUUUAUUUGUAAUACAGAAAUUAUUAAACAUGUGGGAAUUGUCUUUAGACAUACUGAAUAAUGUUAAGGCGUAGUAUUCUCAUGUUGAUAAGCUGAAAACAUGCCAAGACUGUCUAAUGUCUAAUAUUUUAACAUGCUGAAAAUUAGAGAAAUAGUAAUUUAACAUGCUGCGCAUUAGUUGUCAACGCCUAAAAAUGCAAUUUGAAUAUCCUAGAAUGCAAUUGAACAUGCAGGAAAAUUAAUUUUAAAAUGCUGAAAUUCAAUAUUAACGUGCUCAAAUUUAUUUUAAUAUGCCUAAAUGGAAGUUAACACGCCUAAACAUGCAAAGACAUAUUACAUAAGUUGUGCUUCACAUGCGAAAAAUCAACGUAGUAGCCUAACGUCUUUAUCAUGCCUUAAUUCAAUGUGGGCAUGUUAAGAAGGUAUUAGCAUGCUUACAUUUUAUUUUAAUGCGUCAGAUAUUAAAGAAACUUAAGCAAUAUUUGAAAGCGUCUAGAUGAUUCAUAUAACACGUAUUGCAUAUAAACCUAAGUUGUGCCUAUCUAUACCGUUCAUAGAGCACGUAAGUUCCCGCCCCCCACCCCCCUGAAGCACUCCCCCAGAUUUAUUAUUACAUCAAUAACAAAAGUAUCUUUACAAAUAUUACAAACCAAAUAAUACGACAAAUAAGAAAAAAGAAAAACAACUAGCUAUGAAUAAUAACAUAGUCAAUUUCAUCAUCCCGGCGACUCUUAGGAACCCCCUCCCAAUAACACCUGUCGAAUGUAAUAGAAGAACAAUGCAAGCACGGGACAAACACACACAUGGUCUAGCAUAUUGAAACGAUCGAACAAGGCACAGCAUAUAAGCAGUAAGCAAUUGUUUAAACUAAUCCUAUAGACAUGCUUUCUAGUAUGUAAAUACAUUGAUGGGGGACUUACCAGUGCACAGCAGUAAACAAGAUAAUAAGAAUAAAAGAAAACCAAGCACAGCAAAAUACGCAAGAUGUUUUUCGUAAACCUUAAAGAUAAAUCGAAGAACCCUCAAAGUAUAGAAUUGCCUUGUAUUAAAAUAGCUUAUGUUUUUAUUUUUUGAGAAAAGAGUAAUUUGUAGUUGUAGAGCUGUCUGUUAAAGAAAAGAAAUAGCAGAUGUUUUAUUUAAGAGAGUAGUAAUUGUAAUUGUAAUUGUAAUUAUUGGAACCUGUCUGUUAAUGAAAAGGGAAGGGUUUAUAUAGUGAGGGGACGCGUAACUAAGGUGGGGAAAAUAUCCCUAAGCUCAUUAAGAAUAUUUCCUUUCCUUAUUCAACUAGGAUGGUCCCCAAAAAGUAUCAAUUAAUUGAGAAUGUAAAAGGUCAUUCAGAAGAACAAAAAAGGAAAGAAGGUUGGACACCAUCAAUUAUUGAAAUUAUCGAUGGUUAUUGGGCAAACUUCAAUCAAGACUCAGAGAAAUUUCCUUUUCAUAACUGUUAAUGGAACGUCGUAACUAACGGUAUAUAACAUUCAAUCAAGAAGAGAAGAAUAUUCAAAGCAACCAUUCAAUCCACAAAGUUUUCCUUAAAUAAGAGAUUACAUCAAUCAAAGCAAAUAAGGGCAAAGGAAUAGCAAAUGAUUUUCCCUUAAUCAGGCUACUUGAAUCGAUUAGGAUCAAUCCUAAAUAUUUCAAUUAGACUAACAUUCCAAUCUAAUCAAAUAUUUGAGUCGAUUGGUAGGUAAGUAAUGGCAUGUUAGCCAAUAAGAACUUUCAAUCAGACAAUAGGCAAGCACAUAUAUACUGAAAUUCAUAUUGGGGUCAAGAUCAAGCACAUGCAAUAGUUGGGCAUUUUCACAUAUGUUGAUUACAAGAUAUAGGAAAGCACGAAACUUGAAGAAUCAUGUUAAAACAACUAAUAAUGUUUCAUGAAUUUCACAUCUAAAAUCAGGCAAAGCACCUAAAAAAAUUAGAAAAAGAGAAUUCAAACCGUUAAGAGGGACCAAUAUGAAAAUACUUGUAUUAUUUUACCACAUUCCUCAGAAACUCAUAGUUUGGCAUCCGUUUAGUCCUUUUGUUGUUGUUGAAGCGUAGGGUACGAAGAGGAGGAGGAGGAAGGCGGCUGUUGUCCGACGCCGGUGGGAAUAGUGGCCGUCGGAGAUGGAUGAAGCGGCUGGAUGGCGGCAAUUUGGUGGUGAAGAGAAGAACGGAGGGGGCUCAGAGGCGGUGAGGUCGCGAUGGUAGCGAUGCUGGUUUGCUGGUUAGAUUUUCACCGAUGAUGGCAACGGCGGGUCGUGGCGGGCGAGGGCUGUUGAUGGCGAUGGCGGUGUGGUGGCGUUGGUCGCCGGUGGAUGAAAUGCUCGCCGGCGUCAGCUAUGGAUGCCGAUUGAGAGGAGAGGAAAGGGGUAGAGAGAGAAGGAAGAGAGAGAAAGUGCUUGACCGGCUAUGUUUGGUUUUUGACUUAGGGUUAGGGUUCAUUUGGUUUUUAAUAAGGAAAGAUGAUAGAUUAAAUAUCAGCCGUUAGAUCAAUUUUUAUCAAUGGUUGGGAUUUUGAGACUACGUGGAGUUAGAAUGUGGCUAGGAUUGUAAGAAAUUAGGCUA